CGCUGCCUACGGGGCGCAGCAGUGGGGAAUAUUGCACAAUGGGGGAAACCCUGAUGCAGCGACGCCGCGUGAGUGAAGAAGUAUUUCGGUAUGUAAAGCUCUAUCAGCAGGGAAGAAAAUGACAGUACCUGACCAAGAAGCCCCGGCUAACUACGUGCCAGCAGCCGCGGUAAUACGUAGGGGGCAAGCGUUAUCCGGAUUUACUGGGUGUAAAGGGAGCGUAGACGGUUAUGUAAGUCUGGAGUGAAAGCCCGGGGCCCAACCCCGGGACUGCUUU
rnacentral:rRNA from 1 species